AUUGAACGCUGGCGGCAGGCCUAACACAUGCAAGUCGAACGAGUGGCGGACGGGUGAGUAAUGUCUUGGAAACUGCCCGAUGGAGGGGUGUAACUACUGGAAACGGUAGCUAAUACCGCAUACCAUCGGAUGUGCCCAGGGGGGAUUAGCUAGUAGGUGGGGUAACGGCUCACCUAGGCGACGAUCCCUAGCUGGUCUGAGAGGAUGACCAGCCACACUGGAACUGAGACACGGUCCAGACUCCUACGGGAGGCAGCAGUGGGGAAUAUUGCACAAUGGGCGCAAGCCUGAUGCAGCCAUGCCGCGUGUAUGAAGAAGGCCUUCGGGUUGUAAAGUACUUUCAGCGAGGAGGCGUUACUCGAAGAGGAAGCACCGGCUAACUCCGUGCCAGCAGCCGCGGUAAUAC
rnacentral:rRNA from 1 species